GCUCGUCUCCUGAUUCAACUGGCCAAGAGCCCUCGCUGUUCAGAGAGAUAAACAGACAAAUGGCUCUGGACAUGAAGUUUUGGCAUACCAGGGUGCAGCAAGAAGGUUCAUCCUCUCUGUUGACCAGCAGCAGGAAAAGUUAUAAACAAACCUCUGAAAAUCUGCUGGAGCCAGUGAGCUCAGCCGACUUGAUCCACAAUUGGAAAUCAAAAUGAUUGUUUUCUAUUUUAUUCGAUUCAGCUGUUUAUCUCCAACAACCAUUCACCUUGUAUACACACUACAGACAGGUGUAAAUUUUCUAUGACAGGAUUUUUGGACUUUUUCGAGCAAAACCUUGAGUUUUGUUCAACUUUGUGUAGACUCAUCUCGGCAUUCGUCGAAUCAUUUUUGCCUUUUUUUACCUCUACUCUGUUCUUUGGUCGAUUCCUGCUGUACUGGACAACCUCAGACACUCUACUGGUUUAUAACAGAGCUAUUUGGACAUGGAACUGAGAGACAAAACUUACCUGGGACAAAAUGUCUUCUUCAGUGUUUGGUGACUUUUUUUGGACAAAGGGCCAAGGUUUGACCUUCUAUUUGAAGACGCAGGGGGAAACAAAAUGGACUAAACCUCUGAGUGGAUGCUGAAUGUGUUUUAUGUGACAUCAUACAUAAUAAUUACUUAUAAUUAAAGUAAUAAUAUUCCAUAUAUUUAUAUUGUUAAAGCUGCAGCCCAGUGUGCAAUAUGUAAAUACAGAAAAAGGAUUAAAGAUAAUCAUUUGAUAUAUA